rnacentral:rRNA from 1 species
AUGCAGCAGCUGCUUCAGGGACAAACUCAGUUGAUCCAGUUACUUGUUCAGAACCAGAACAACAACAACAACAACAACAACAAUCCACCACCACCCCAAGUUGAUGCCCUUACUCGUUUCUUGAGGUUGAAUCCUCGGAGGUUUUCUAGCACCCCUGAACCUAUUGUGGCUGAUGAUUGGCUUCGCUCAGUUAAUAGGAAUUUGGAGACAGUUGGUUGCACUGAUGCAGAGAGAGUGUGGUUUGCCUCUCAUUUGUUAGAAGGACCAGACGCAUCAUGGUGGGACAAUUACUUGGUCACUUAUCCUAUUGCUACUAUCACUUGGGUGCAGUUUCAGGCAGGUUUUCGCGCCGCACAUGUGUCUGCUCGUGCCAUGAGUCUGAAGAAGAAGGAGUUAUGCAGCUUGCGUCAGGGAGGUCGCACUGUGAGUGCAUAUGUGGAGGAAUUCAAUAAUCUUGCACGCUAUGCCCCUAAUGAUGUUAACACUGAUGCAGCUAGACAGGAGAAGUUUCUUGAAGGUCUGGAUGAUGAGUUGAGUAUUCAGUUGAUAGUGGCAACAUUCAACAACUGUCAGGAGCUUAUUGAUAAGGCUAUUGUACUUGAAGGCAAGUUUCAAGAGGUGGAGAAUCGCAAGAGGAAGGCAAGUGACACAGAUUUCAACUCUGGAGGACAACGGAAGCACCGUAAUUCGUUAGCAUCUUCUAAGUACUAUGAUUCUGGAGUGGACAUUUAUAAUGGUCAUAACCAUGAUGGGCAUAAUCAUCACAACAACAAUGGUCACAACCACAAUGCUCAGAGGAAUGGCAACAACGACCACGACCUUUCGACGCCCAGAAAGAAGGAUCUAAGCCAGUUACUUUGCUACAGAUGCAGGAACCCAGGACACUAUUCAAUAAAUUGUCCUGAGAAGAAACUGAAUUAUGACAAUGGGAACUCUGGAGAGAAGGAGAUUGAUCACUUCAAAAGUGGACAUGUGAAUCACACAAGGGUAGGAAGACCAGAUAAUGCAUCGGUCUUUGAUUGUCCGGAGUGUGAAGUGGAUCAGAAUUAA